CCCCGGGCUCUCCGCGCUGCUACCUUUGGUUCGGAAGGGGGAGGAGGGCUGGCAGGGGGCUGGGGAACGGGAAAGGGGACCCCGGGAGCAUCCCCAGUGAACCUCAUCGCUUGGAAGCACGGCCACCCAAGUGACUCCGAGGACAAAGGAGGUGACACACAGACUCUACAGGUGGUCCGGGGUGGCCCUGGAAGAGCCCGCCUUUACCUAACCCUAGCCCCCCGCAGUGUCCCGCGGUUCUGAGCGAAGAGCACCCCAGGCCCAGAAGGGUCGGGGUGUCUGCAGAGAGACGUGACCUCACACCAGAUCCAAGACACCUUUAACCUCGCUAAACACGUGCAGUUUUCAACUCUACAGCAGGAGAGAGUACCUGGCGCCCCCGGGGGUGGAUCCCCAACCGAGAAAAGCGGUCUUUGGGAGGAGUCCACUGCGCCACCCACUCAUCAGUCUCCACGUAUUACCCAAGCUCUGGCGGCCCCUUUAAGAACUCACCUGUAGCCGCCUCCUCCGAAGCCGAGCCGCCCUCCGUUCGCAGAACUGGUUUAAGUUUUGAUUGCAGCCCCGAGCGGGACUCCAGGACGCCCAGGACCUCGCUCCGGGGCUGUAGGAGAAUCACGGGAAGCUCUCCAAGUUACUGCCCAGGUCUUCGAGCCUCUUCUAGAUAACAAGACUCUCCCUGCUCUGAGGUUGAGAGAGAAGAAUUUGCCCAGGGUCAUCCAGUGUUGGUGACAAAACUGGAAACACGGAGAUCUUGUCUUUCAAAACCGGAAGACUCUUCCCAGUAAACUUGACAGCUUGUCACCGAGGCCAUAUCCUUGGGCUAGUAAAGGGAAGUGUCGGGAACCUUGUACUGUAACCAUAACAGUUAGUCAGAGGUAUGCUGACCACUGGGUUUCACUUUUGAAUUGCAGCCUAACCUGGGAGAACCCAACGACUUGAGGGCUCAUCUAGACUCCCCGUCUCAGUUUAAGAUAAAGAAACUCAGGUCCAGAGAGGAGAAGCAACUUGCCCAAGGACGUAUAGGCUAAUCUGUGACAGAAGCCCAGAAUUAGGUCUCCUAGCUGCAGUCCAGGGCUCUUUCCACUGUAAUGUUGGACAACUCGACAGUGGUAUGUUGGUAUAUUGGCAGCAGAUCUCUAUGCUGUCCUGGAUCAAGAAUCUUUGGAGCUUGAGCAACAGUUAAAACAACACUUCAUAGAAGAAAUGGGAUGGAAAAGUGAGGGAAAUCUAACAACAAGAAGCUUAAAUAGAGAGAUUUUUUAAAAUAGGGAAAUAGGGGCCUUUUUAAUUAGUGAAGAUGGCUGAUGUCAUGCAUCUGUUAUUAUUAAGACUUCAUUGAUGAACUGUGAAUGGAAUAGUUCCACUUAAGGAACCAUUCUAAGAGUGGAAUCUCAUCAGAAUUCAGGAGAAGGAGAGAGGGAUUUCACCCUCCCUCUUAAUAUCAUUCAUUGUUCAUAUAUGUUCACUUGCUAGGUGAUGGGGAUAGAAAUGAAUAAUAUCCAAGUCCAGCUCUCAAGGACCCACAGCCUGGUACCAAAUGGAUAAAGGUGGCUCUGCUCGGGAAUGGGCUGACCCCCUGGAAUCUGAGGCAAAAGGAGAGAGAAUGAAAAGAACAAAUAAGGAGGAGUGACCCUGGCUUCUGUCAGAGGAAGGUCCAGAACAAGAAGAUUCCGCCAGGGCAGAAGCAACAGCAAUAGCACCUUUCCUUUGGAUGGCACUUUGAGGGUCACAAAGCCCUCUCACCAUCAUCAUCCUCCAUGACUUACAUGACAUCCUUUCCUGGCAAUGGGGGCAGGUAUCACCAUCACAAGUUCACAAAGGAGAAACCUGAUGCUCAGACAUUUUUAAAGGACUUGGCCAGAGUCAUAUUUGCUCAGAAGUCUCGGGGCCAUUGUUAACAUUCUUACUGACCUGUGACCUCUUCCAUUCGGCUGUUUAGAAAAAAGACUUAGAUCCUCUGCCUCAAUAAAUUCUGAUGCAUGCACAAACCUAA
ensembl:lncRNA